rnacentral:misc_RNA from 1 species
GCAAACUUGGUCAUUUAGAGGAAGUAAAAGUCGUAACAAGGUUUCCGUAGGUGAACCUGCGGAAGGAUCAUUACAGAGUACCGGGACCCCAGGUCCCUACUCUCAUCCCAUGUUAACUUUUUACCGUUGCUUUGGCGGAUCGGUGGUCCGACUGCCGCCGGCCCUAGGCUGGAGAGCGUCCGCCAGAGGAUCUUUAAACGCUGUUUUAAACAUGCGCUCUGAGUACAACUUAAUUAGAAUCAAAACUUUCAACAACGGAUCUCUUGGUUCUGGCAUCGAUGAAGAACGCAGC